rnacentral:rRNA from 1 species
AUCCAGGAGAAGUCUGACGGAGCACGCCGCGUGAGUGAUGAAGGUUUUCGGAUCGUAAAGCUCUGUUGUUAGGGAAGAACAAGUACCGUUCGAAUAGGGCGGUACCUUGACGGUACCUAACCAGAAAGCCACGGCUAACUACGUGCCAGCAGCCGCGGUAAUACGUAGGUGGCAAGCGUUGUCCGGAAUUAUUGGGCGUAAAGGGCUCGCAGGCGGUUUCUUAAGUCUGAUGUGAAAGCCCCCGGCUCAACCGGGGAGGGUCAUUGGAAACUGGGGAACUUGAGUGCAGAAGAGGAGAGUGGAAUUCCACGUGUAGCGGUGAAAUGCGUAGAGAUGUGGAGGAACACCAGUGGCGAAGGCGACUCUCUGGUCUGUAACUGACGCUGAGGAGCGAAAGCGUGGGGAGCGAACAGGAUUAGAUACCCUGGUAGUCCACGCCGUAAACGAUGAGUGCUAAGUGUUAGGGGGUUUCCGCCCCUUAGUGCUGCAGCUAACGCAUUAAGCACUCCGCCUGGGGAGUACGGUCGCAAGACUGAAACUCAAAGAAAUUGGGACGGGA